GUCAAUUCAAGUCAUGCAGGCUGUGAGAAACGUGGGGUCGUGGUUCCUGCGGUCCUGGACUUGGACCCAGACAACCGGCAGGGUCGUGGCCAGGACGCCGGCCGGGACCAUCCACACAGGCGCUCGACAGCUCCAAGACGCUGCGGCCAAGCAGAAAGUUGAAGUGAAGGCGGCUCCGAGCCACACCAAGUUCAGGCUUCUAGGGGCAUAGAUUAGUUCUCUCUUAUUUCCCUGAAGAAGAGUUGUAUCCUAUGUGCUUCUUCUACUUUUCUCAGCACACUGAUCCAGGUAGUCUCUGCCAGUAAUGAGCCCCUUGCCCUUGCUUCCUGUGGCACAGAGGGAUUUCGGAAUGCCAAGAAGGGCACAGGCGUCGCAGCACAGACAGCAGGCAUAGCCGCAGCAGCGAGAGCUAAACAAAAGGGCGUGAUCCACAUCCGAGUUGUGGUGAAAGGCCUGGGGCCAGGACGCUUGUCUGCAAUGCACGGACUGAUCAUGGGGGGCCUG
rnacentral:sRNA from 1 species